CACGUAGGGUGCGAGCGUUGUCCGGAAUUAUUGGGCGUAAAGAGCUCGUAGGCGGUGUGUCGCGUCGGCCGUGAAAACCUGCAGCUUAACUGUGGGCUUGCGGUCGAUACGGACAUCACUGGAGUUCGGCAGGGGAGACUGGAAUUCCUGGUGUAGCGGUGAAAUGCGCAGAUAUCAGGAGGAACACCGGUGGCGAAGGCGGCCUGCUGGGACGUGGCUGACGCUGAGGCGCGACAGCGUGGGGAGCAAACAGG
rnacentral:rRNA from 1 species